rnacentral:rRNA from 1 species
UACGUAGGGUGCGAGCGUUAAUCGGAAUUACUGGGCGUAAAGCGUGCGCAGGCGGUUCGUUGUGUCGGCGGUGAAAGCCCCGGGCUCAACCUGGGAAUGGCCGUUGAAACUGGCGAACUGGAGUAUGGUAGAGGAAGGUGGAAUUCCCGGUGUAGCAGUGAAAUGCGUAGAUAUCGGGAGGAACACCUGUGGCGAAAGCGGCUCACUGGACCAUAACUGACGCUGAUGCACGAAAGCUGGGGGAGCAAACAGG